UGAUAAGUUUAUUACAACUAAUAUGAUCGUACUAACUAUAUAAACAUGUGUAUUCACAAUGUGGCUGAUAUGGCAGGGAGAAAGUCUGAUCUUCGGUAGCUACAACAGCAUUUAAACCCAGCGGGUCGUCGACACACGGAACUGGAAGCUACAAAACAUGGGGGGAAAAGUCCUACGUUAAAAUUCCUGUGAGGUUAAAACAACAUUUGUGCGCUUUAAUGUGACCUUAAUUGUUCUGUGUUAUUAAUGAAUAAAAUCUAGGUCUUUUCAUGGAGAAAAAGACCUACAUUAAAAUUUCUAUCUGGGAAUAAAACACUGUUGGUGUUUUUAAUGCUAACUUCAUUUAUUAGAAUGAAAAUAAGAAAAAAAAUAAUAAAUAGAAGUACAAAAGGAAACUUACCGGUAGCUGACUUCUCAGCGGGAAUUCCUCAUUUCCGUAAACCUCCACGGCGUUUUCAGGCACCGGGUCGUCCACACACUGAACUGGAAGCUACAAAACACAGAGAAAAAAGACCUACGUUAAAAUUCCUGUGUGGGAGUAAUACACUGUUGGUGUUAAUAACGCUACCGGCAUUUAUUAGAAUGAAAAUGAGAAAAAUAGAAAAGAGAGAGAGGAAUAAGGAAACUUACUGGGAUUUGAGAUCUGGGAUUUGAAAUGGGGAAAAUGUCGUUCUCAUAAAUAACCACGCCAUUUAAUCCAGCCUGGUCGUCCACACACUGAACUGGAAACUGCAGAACACAGAGAAAUAAGACCUACAUGUAGUGUUUAGUGACAUGUUUAUAAUACAGAAGAAUGACUAAUGUUACAGUAUGUUUGUGAAAAAGAAAAUUGACACAAAAGCUUCAUAUAGUUGUUCAUUAUUAACGGAAAUAUUUAACAUUUGCUAUUCGUCAAGCGAGUUCAAGACGUCAAUUAGUUUAAGCUUUGACUUCAUCACACAGGAUUCUUCUCUUGGUCGACAGGCCUCAACCUGAAUCUGCGUCAGUAUUAAGUAAACGGUAAAUGGCGCACAUAUAGCGUUUUUAUCCAAAGCGCUUUACACUGGUUCUCAUUCACACAUUCACACACACACCAGUGGUAGCAGAGCUGCCAUGCAAGGCGCUAACUUGCCAUCGGGAGCAACUCGGGGUUCAGCGUCUUACCCAAGCAGUAGUAGUUUCCUUUCUCAAACAGGUCACUGGUCAGUACCCAGAAUGCAAUAGGAGGCACGUGACUGGAGCACAAAUCAAUUAACAGCCCCAUUUUGUUUUAAAAGAGCAGCCAUUACAAAAGGAAUCUUACUGGUAGCAGAUUUCUCUUCUGGAAUUCCUCGUUUCCGUAAACCUCCACGGCGUUUUCA
ensembl:lncRNA